UGUCAGUCCUACAGAUACUCAAAUCAAGUAGAUCUGUGAUUGUGUAAAAAGUCCCGGUGCAUGGGAGGUUCGAACUUCUCCUUGCCUUGUUCAAUCUUCGGGCUAGGGUUUAAGCGAGGUUCCAAGAGCUUCUGGUUUCUAAAACAGAUUUAAGCCCACUAUUAGGGUGACCGGGCCGAACAGGGCGAAUUCCCAUCCCUGUUCCGAUGCACCUAUAUCUCCACCCUUUAAAUUU
rnacentral:lncRNA from 1 species